rnacentral:rRNA from 1 species
GACGAACGCUGGCGGCAUGCCUAAUACAUGCAAGUCGAGCGAACAGAUGAAGUGCUUGCACUUCUGACGUUAGCGGCGAACGGGUGAGUAACACGUAAGGAAUCUACCUAUAAGCGGGGGAUAACAUUCGGAAACGGGUGCUAAUACCGCAUAAUAUCUUCUUCCGCAUGGAAGAAGAUUGAAAGACGGCUCUGCUGUCACUUAUAUAUGACCUUGCGGUGCAUUAGUUAGUUGGGGGGGUAAUGGCCUACCAAGACGAUGAUGCAUAGCCGACCUGAGAAGGUGAUCGGCCACAUUGGGACUGAGACACGGCCCAAACUCCUACGGGAGGCAGCAGUAGGGAAUCUUCCGCAAUGGGCGAAAGCCUGACGGAGCAAUGCCGCGUGAGUGAAGAAGGCCUUCGGGUCGUAAAACUCUGUUAUAAGAGAAGAACAAAUUGUAGAGUAACUGCUACAGUCUUGACGGUAUCUUAACAGAAAGCCACGGCUAACUACGUGCCAGCCGCCGCCGUAA